rnacentral:miRNA from 1 species
UGGCAGCAGGUGAUUGCUGAGGCU